AAGAAGGGAGGAUUUGAUUGAUAGAAUUAGUGGAGCGUUGAUGAUCUUCGUGAUCAUGAUGAGGCGUUUGGAGCAUGAAAUUUGCUGGGAAGAAAGCCAUUCCAUUGCAAGACAUGGAGCAGAUGGCAGACAGGUCUUGUUUUAAAUAAGCCUGCAAGAAUAUUAAAGAAAAACUCUAUUUUCACCAACUCAUGAUUGUUGCAGAUCCUCGGAGUGGACACAGAGUUUAAUGCAAGAAAAGCAAAAGAGAGAUUCGAUAUAUAUUUACAUAUAUCAGA
rnacentral:lncRNA from 1 species